UUUCAAGUUCAAACCAUCAUUUCCAUUUACAUCAAUACCAUUACAAGAGUGUAUCAAGAGUGCAUCAUCACUUUUACAAAGGAGUUUAGGACAUGGAGACAUUACAUAAAAAAUAAACAUAUCAACUAUCCUAACCCUAGCUCACUACUCAUUCCUCACACAUCUUCAUCUUUCUUCUCCAUGAUUCUAAUCCUUUGUUCAAAGACUUCAAGUUCACACCAAUUCUUGACCUGCAUAAAAUCCAAACAGAAACACAUACAUCAAUGCAGCAACGUUCAUAUAUACGAAGUACAGCCAACAAAUCUAACAAGAUACAUCAAAGGAAACAUGAAAGAUCAGCUACAAAGUAAAAUCAGUUUAAGAUCCAUACCAAAGCAGUUCAACUCAAAUUGCAUUGCUUCAGUUUCUCAUUCCACAGUCAACAGAAAUCAGCGCCUUGUAUGUCAUCAAAACAAAAGAAAACAAGUUCAAUGA